rnacentral:rRNA from 1 species
AAACCAGCACCUCAAGUGGUCAGGAUGAUUAUUGGGCCUAAAGCAUCCGUAGCCUGCUCUGUAAGUUUUCGGUUAAAUCUGUACGCUCAACGUACAGGCUGCCGGGAAUACUGCAGAGCUAGGGAGUGGGAGAGGUAGACGGUACUCGGGAGGAAGGGGUAAAAUGCUUUGAUCUCUCGAUGACCACCUGUGGCGAAGGCGGUCUACCAGAACACGUCCGACGGUGAGGGAUGAAAGCUGGGGGAGCAAACCGGAUUAGAAACCCUUGUAGUCC